CCUACGGGUGGCAGCAGUGAGGAAUAUUGGUCAAUGGUCGCGAGCCUGAACCAGCCAAAUAGCGUGAAGGAUGACUGCCCUACGUGUUGUAAACCUCUUUUAUCAAGGAAUAAAGUCAGGCACGUGUGCCCGGAUGUAUGUACUUUAUGAAUAAGGAUCGGCUAACUCCGUGCCAGCAGCCGCGGUAAUACGGAGGAUGCGAGCGUUAUCCGGAUUUAUUGGGUUUAAAGGGUGCGUAGGCGGAAUGCCAAGUCAGCGGUAAAAUCGCGGGGCUCAACCCCGCCCCGCCGUUGAAACUGGCGUUCUUGAGUGGGCGAGAAGUAUGCGGAAUGCGUGGUGUAGCGGUGAAAUGCAUAGAUAUCACGCAGAACUCCGAUUGCGAAGGCAGCAUACCGGCGCCCCACUGACGCUGAAGCACGAAAGCGUGGGUAUCGAACAGGAUUAGAUACCCUAGUAGUC
rnacentral:rRNA from 1 species